rnacentral:misc_RNA from 1 species
AACACUGUUAACCUGCGGUACCUGCGGAGGGAUCAUUGCUGGAACGCGCUUCGGCGCACCCAGAAACCCUUUGUGAACUUAUACCUAUUUGUUGCCUCGGCGUAGGCCGGCCUCUUCACUGAGGCCCCCUGGAAACAGGGAGCAGCCCGCCGGCGGCCAACUAAACUCUUGUUUCUGUAGUGAAUCUCUGAGUAAAAACAUAAAUGAAUCAAAACUUUUAACAAUGGAUCUCAGAUCGGA